GAAGUCAGGGAUUUGCUUUAAAAUAAUACCUCACUGACCUAAAGUAAAUUCCCAGGAGGAGUUCUUCCUGGGCUUUGAAUUUGCAGUGAUAGGUAUGAACAUUCUAGAGGCAGCUGGAUGAUCAUGUAUGAUGCUGCAGACAAGA